AGUGAACGCUGGCGGUAGGCCUAACACAUGCAAGUCGAACGGCAGCACAGUAAGAGCUUGCUCUUACGGGUGGCGAGUGGCGGACGGGUGAGGAAUACAUCGGAAUCUACUUUUUCGUGGGGGAUAACGUAGGGAAACUUACGCUAAUACCGCAUACGACCUACGGGUGAAAGCAGGGGAUCUUCGGACCUUGCGCGAUUGAAUGAGCCGAGGUCGGAUUAGCUAGUUGGCGGGGUAAAGGCCCACCAAGGCGACGAUCCGUAGCUGGUCUGAGAGGAUCAUCAGCCACACUGGAACUGAGACACGGUCCAGACUCCUACGGGAGGCAGCAGUGGGGAAUAUUGGACAAUGGGCGCAAGCCUGAUCCAGCCAUACCGCGUGGGUGAAGAAGGCCUUCGGGUUGUAAAGCCCUUUUGUUGGGAAAGAAAAGCAGCAGGUUAAUACCCCGCUGUUCUGACGGUACCCAAAGAAUAAGCACCGGCUAACUUCGUG
rnacentral:rRNA from 1 species